CUAACAGUUAAGGAAUUAGGGGCCAAAAAGGGGCCAAAAAUAAGCAUUUUUGUAACUUCCAGACAUAACUUGUGUGUAAGUAUAUGGAUCUCUCUGACAUUGUUCCACAAGGUUCCAUAUCACAAAGGGAAUGCUGGGAUUGAUUUUGGGGGUAAUUGCCUCCAAAUUUUAGGAAUUAGGGGCCAAAAAGGGGCAAAAAACAAGCAUUUUUCUAGUUUCAUGACAAUAACUUGUGUGUAAGUGUAUGGAUCUCUCUGACAUUGUAUCACAAGGUUCCAUAUCACAAAGGGAAUACUGGGAUUGAUUUUUGGGGGUAAUUUCCUCCAAAUUUUGGGAAUUAGGGGCCAAAAAGGGGCAAAAAACAAGCAUUUUUCUAGUUUCAGGACAAUAACUUGUUUGUAAGUGUAUGGAUCUUUAUGAAAUUGUACUGCAAGGUUCCAUAUCACAAAGGGAAAGCUGGGUUUGAGUUUGGGGGUAAUUGCCCUAAACGUUUAGGAAUUUGGGGCCAAAAAGGGGCCAAAAAACACAUUUUUUUCUAGUUUCCAGACAAUAACUUGUGUUCAAGUGUAUGGAUCUCUCUGAAAUUGUACUGCAAGGUAGCAUACCACAAAGGGAAGGCUGGGAUUGAGUUUGGGGGUGAUGAAUCAUAAUGGGGGUUCAAAAAAUUUUGGGGGGGGAUUUAUUUUUUUUUUCUUUUUUUUUCUUUUUUUCCUUUUUUGUUUCUUUUAAAAUUUUCCAUUUUAAGUUGGUUAUUUCUGAUUUAUAUUUAAAAUCAAAUAAUAAUGAUAUGGUAGGAGAUACACACCAAACAGGAUGUGUAAAUUAUUAUAUAAUAAGUAUUGUGCAAUAGCAAGAAAUUUUCAAUUGCACAGUAUUGCACAAUAGCAAGAAAUCUUCAAUUGCACAGUAUUGCGCAAUAGCAAGAAAUCUUCAAUUGCACAGUAUUGCGCAAUAGCAAGAAAUAUCCAAUAGCACAAUAUUGCGCAAUAGCAAGAAAUUGUCAAUUGUACAGUAUUGCGCAAUAGCAAGAAAUAUUUAAUAGCACAGGAUUGUGCAAAAGAAGAUACUUCCUAUAAAUUGCUUAUUUCUUGACCAAUUUCAAUGGGGUUUUAUUCUUGAUUUCAUGGGGUUCUUUAAUAUGCUGAAUAUAACCGUGUAUUUAGUUUUUGGAUUUUGGGCCCCGUUUUUAAAUUGGUCCACAUUGAGGUCCAAAGGGUCCAAAAUUAAACUUAGUUUGAUUUUAACAAAAAUUGAAUUCUUAGGGUUCUUUGAUAUGCUGAAUCUAAACAUGUAUUUAGAUUUUUGAUUAUGGGCCCAGUUUUCAAGUUGGUCCAAAUCGGGGUCCAAAAUUAAACUUUGUUUGAUUUCAACAAAAAUUGAAUAUAUGGGGUUCUUUGAUAUGCUGAAUCUAACCAUGUAUUUAGAUUUUUGAUUUUUGGGCCCCGUUAUCAACUUUGUCCACAUUGAGGUCAAAAGGGUCCAAAAUUAAACUUUGUUUGAUUUCAUCAAAAAUUGAAUUAUUGGGGUUCUUUGAUAUGCCGAAUCUAACCGUGUAUUUAGAUUCUUAAUUUUUGGUUCCGUUUUCAAAUUGGUCUACAUUAAGGUCCAAAGGGUCCAAAAUUAAACUUAGUUUGAUUUUAACAAAAAUUGAAUUCUUAGGGUUCUUUGAUAUGCUGAAUCUAAACAUGUAUUUAGAUUUUUGAUUAUGGGCCCAGUUAUCAAGUUGGUCCAAAUCGGGGUCCAAAAUUAAACUUUGUUUGAUUUCAACAAAAAUUGAAUAUAUGGGGUUCUUUGAUAUGCUGAAUCUAACCAUGUAUUUAGAUUUUUGAUUUUUGGGCCCCGUUAUCAACUUUGUCCACAUUGAGGUCAAAAGGGUCCGAAAUUAAACUUUGUUUGAUUUCAUCAAAAAUUGAAUUCUUGGGGUUCUUUGAUAUGCUGAAUCUAACCAUGUAUUUAGAUUUUGGAUAUUGGACCAUAAUAGGUGAAUGUCCAAUUUAAAAUUUUUAAGUUCUUAGACCACAUUCAAUCUGUGUUAGAAACCUAUGCUGUG